rnacentral:misc_RNA from 1 species
GAUGAAGAACGUAGCGAAAUGCGAUAAGUAGUGUGAAUUGCAGAAUUCAGUGAAUCAUCGAAUCUUUGAACGCACAUUGCGCCCUUUGGUAUUCCUUAGGGCAUGCCUGUUCGAGCGUCAUUUAAACCUUCAAGCUCAGCUUGGUGUUGGGUGACUGUCCGCUUCACCGCGGACUCGCCUCAAAAUUAUUGGCGGCCGGUACAUUGGCUCUCGAGCGCAGCAGAAACGCGUAACUCGAGGUCCUCGUGCUGGCUCCCAGAAGCUAUCUUCACAAUUUUGACCUCGGAUCAGGUAGGGAUACCCGCUGAACUUAAGCAUAUCAAUAAGCGGAGGU